rnacentral:rRNA from 1 species
AGAUAUGAUCCAGAGUACCACGGGACACGUGAAACCCUGUGGGAAGCAGGAGGGACCACCCUCCAAGGCUAAAUACUACCUAGUGACCGAUAGCGUAUAGUACCGUGAGGGAAAGGUGAAAAGAACCCCGGGAGGGGAGUGAAAUAGAACCUGAAACCCUGCACUUACAAGCUGUGGAAGCACAUUUCUUGUGUGACCGCGUACUUUUUGUAGAACGGGCCAACGAGUUACGUU